rnacentral:rRNA from 1 species
AUUGAACGCUGGCGGUAUGCUUUACACAUGCAAGUCGAGCGGCAACAGGCCGCAAGGUGCUGACGAGUGGCGAAGGGGUGAGUAAUGCAGCGGAACGCGCCCAGACGUGGGGGUCAACUACGCGAAAGAGUAGCUAAUACAGGCUAAGACCUCUUGCUAACAGCGGGGGAAAGUAAGGCCUCUUGCGACCUGAGCCGCCGAUGUCAGAUUAGGUAGUUGGUGGGGUAAAGGCUCACCAAGCCAACGAUCUGUAGCUGGUCUGAGAGGACGACCAGCCACACUGGGACUGAGACACGGCCCAGACUCCUACGGGAGGCAGCAGUGGGGAAUAUUGGACAAUGGGCGCAAGCCUGAUCCAGCAAUGCCGCGUGCAGGAAGAAGGCCUUCGGGUUGUAAACUGCUUUUGUACGGAAAGAAACGGCUCUGGUUAAUACCCGGGUCUACUGACGGUACCGAAAGAAUAAGCACCGGCUAACUUCGUG